GAUCCUGGCUCAGGAUGAACGCUGGCGGCGUGCCUAACACAUGCAAGUCGAACGGGACUGAUUCUACGGAGAUUCGUCGAAGCAGAUGAAAGUUUAGUGGCGGACGGGUGAGUAACGCGUGGGUAACCUGCCUCAUAGAGGGGGACAACAGCUGGAAACGGCUGCUAAUACCGCAUAAGCCCACACUGCCGCAUGGCAGAGGGGGAAAAGAUUUAUCGCUAUGAGAUGGACCCGCGUUUGAUUAGCUAGUUGGCGGUGUAACGGACCACCAAGGCGACGAUCAAUAGCCGGACUGAGAGGUUGAACGGCCACAUUGGGACUGAGACACGGCCCAAACUCCUACGGGAGGCAGCAGUGGGGAAUAUUGCACAAUGGGGGAAACCCUGAAUGCAGCGACGCCGCGUGGGUGAAGAAGUUUUUCGGAAUGUAAAGCCCUAUCAGCAGGGAAGAUAAUGACGGUACCUGACUAAGAAGCCCCGGCUAACUACGUGCCAGCAGCCGC
rnacentral:rRNA from 1 species